AGAGCCUGAUGUGGGGCUCGAACUCACGAACUGCCAAGAUCAUGACCUGAGCUGAGAUCAAGAGUCAGACGCUUAACCGAUUGCACCACCCGGGCGCCCCCGGUUUAAUUUUCUUUUAAAGAGAAAUCUUCUACUGAGACUUAGUAGAGAAUGGAUCAUAAUUGUAGCUCACACAUUAACAUGGUUCAUCGUUUAAAUGUGGUAUUUUCCCCCUCAGCGGCAAGUUGGUGAGAUUUGGUGCCUGCGAACUAUGAUUAUAUGAAUGCAUGUGACAGUCCCAGUCCUGUGAUAAUUACUCGUAAGGAACACAGAUAAACUUCCUUAUAAGAGAAAUUUACCUUGGAGUUAGGAAUCUCACGAACCUCCCUAUGAAUUACUGCUAUGAACCUCACUCUGAAAUUAGUUUCCUGAUUCAAUUUGUUCUUCCGUUCGUCCGUCCUGUCUCUUUUUUGUGGAGGAGAGAGUGCUGUGUUUUUAUUUCAUACAGGAUAAGGAAGUAGACAUUCUUUCUUCCCCAACUUGCCCACUUCUCCACUUCCUCAGUUGAAGAAAACUUUUGAGAUAUAUGCCUUACUUAGUAUCUACUCUCUUUAAAAUGACUUGGAAUAAUUUUUGAGGUUUACUGACAGAGGUAAAAAUCCCUUUGACUUCAAUGUGGUUGUUUUUUACAUGACACCUUCUCAUGACUUUCUUUUUGACUUUGUCUCCGUGUAGUUUGGUGGUGGUGAUAUUUACUUGCUGAUUUUCCUUUAUUUUUCCACUGAAUGAAGUUUGUGCUUGAAUGAAGAGUGUAUCUUAAACCCUUUUUUUUUUUUGGAUGGAUUGCACUUGGAUAAAACUGGCACCACUGUGUUGAUAUGUAAUUAAAUUCUUUACCAUUAUUUAUCUAUGAAUGUGACCAUCGUUAAAUUUAAUUAUAAUGUAUUCCUUUUUAAAUUUCAGUCUGCUGCUUUGUAAAAAGAACUAUAAUUGAUAUUUCAGUUUUUAAAUUCUAAUCAUUGUCAUCCAGUGUAUUAGAAAUGAGGAGUCAAGGAGCUAACUCAUGGUUCUGUACUCAUUUUUAAAAACGGCUCGUAAAGGUUGAGGUAUAUCUGGUGACUUUUUCUGAGACUGAAAAUAGGUGAGAAAUUGAUGCAGGAAAAUGUGGGUAGUGAUUCCAUGUUUGUUAGUAACUUGCCAUCAUGGAGGUCAGAGAAUGAAUGAAUUAAGUAACGUUAACUCUAUUUUUUGUAUACCUUGUUCUUUGUCAUCUGCAAAAUUGAACUGGAUCAAGUGUUAUUUUGGGCCGGGAACAAAGCUUCAUUCAAAGGUUUCUGAGCUAAUCAUUUUACUAUUUUGUUGACCUUGUACACAGAAUGAGAGUAAUCUGUAUUAUAUAAGGAAAGAACUGAUAAAUAUUUAUUAAAUGACAAAUUUGGACCACAGGCUUUCUUCACCUUGUACAGUAUAGUUACACACACACACACACACGCACACACACACACACACACACACACACACACACACACACCCUUUCUGGCAUGGGGUCGUGUCCUGUACUUCUGGGGCUGUUUUACCUCAAAGUGUGUUCUGUUCUCUUUCUACUGCAUUAAGUUUAUUUGAAAUUAUUUGUGCCUAUACUGUAUAUUUCCCUACAGUGGUAAAGAAUUAUGCCAUAGUUUCAUUGGCACCGUUAGAUGAAAGAAAGGUGGCCGUCAGCAAGAUAAAAGUGAAACUGAGUAACUAUUUCAGAAUACUGUGGACUUGUGCAUCGUUAGUAUACUGCUGACGUUUUCUUGGUUUCGUCUGCCAUCUUGAAGUGCAUCUCGAAAGCCCCAUUUGUUACGUAGUGAUACAGCAGCUGAAGCCGGACUUCAUUACAAAUAGCUCUGAGCAUUUGUGUCAUGCCAAUUACCACCGCAUUUCCAAAGUAUAAAUAUAAAUAUACAAGAUCUUUCAGGCUUCUGCAUGAUACUUUGGGGGUGAGUGGACCACCCCAGCCUUUCUCCCAGCAUACGCUGAGCUGCCUUUAGAGGAGCAAUGGUGUGGUUGGCCACACAUGCAUGUUUUCUGUCCAUUUCAGAGUAGAGUGCCUUAGCCAGGCCGGAGGUUUCCUUUGUGUCUCUGCGGACCAGAGUUACCCAGACCUGUGAGAAGUUUCUUGUCAGGUUAUGGUAUGAAACCUGCCCUUUGGUGCUUGACAGAAAUUAAUUCCCCCACAUUUGAGGGGAGCAUGGGAUAGAAAAAUCUUUACCUGACUAGAGUAUGUUAUUGCCGUCUUUCCCAGUCCUUUACUAACAUUCGUGACCGUCAGUGCAUCGCACAGUUUAAAAUUGUCACGGGUUACGGCAGCACUCCUCCAUUCGCACACAACCGAUGCACACAGCCGGGUAAUACACAAACAGCAAAAUCGUCCUUGGCAUUUGAAUCGCACCAUGCUUAAAAUGCUCUUAAUUCUAAUUUUAAAAAAGCUCCGUGCUGAUUAGUCUAGAAUGUACUUGUACUACUACUAACAUGUCACUUAUUUUAGUAGAGGUUUGGGGAAAAGGAGUGUACGUCUCGGGUUGCCCACAUUCUAAGUAGGUACCAAAAGAGUAUUGAUCAUGACCCGAAGUCUGGGCUCUGGGGGAACAUGCAAGAGAAAAAGCAGGCAUUGGGUCCACUUUAAGGAGAAAAAGGGGUCACCUUAGUGCCCAGUGAUCCUAGUACAAUACAGAAUUUAAACUUCUCACAUUUCAAUUUAAAUCGUCAUUCCGCCACUAAUUUCAAAUUCAAAUGUGAAUUUGGAAGUUUCCUAAAUGCUCAGUUUUCCAAGAAUUUAUUUUGUAGUCCGUUGAAAAACCUUUGGAAUGUACCUUGCUUGCCAAAGUAGACUUUGAUUCUAUCACCUGUGGAAGAUAAAAAGGUAAACUGAAGGUGUUUGAGUCAAAGGCUCCAUUUCCCCUUUCUAUUCUAACUAGAAGCCUGUGUGUGACUCUUCCUUUCAUUCUUCUUCUGGGCUUCCUUUGAACUUGCCACCACCGAGGACAGAGGCGCCGACUUGCUCUGUAGCGCCUAGAUAUUGCCACAUUCCAAUCUCCUUGAUUGCCUUAGAUCUCUUUGCUGGUCUAGGACUGGGAAUGUGCUGGAGGCAACAGAAUGAAGCCGAUGGGCUAGAACUUUUGGCUGUGGGUCCCCAGAAAGGCCAAAAAUAAAUACAGAAAUCUUUGGUUGCGUUGAUUCCUAUGUUCAGAGUGGCCUUUAGCAGUUCUGGACUUGGUUGAGCACUCUGUGGGAGAUUUGUGAAGUCCAGUUAGAAUUUUCUUUUUCUUCUCAAGUGUCUUUGUAAGGCAGCAUGCCCUUUCUUGAACACCCUGUGGGUGAAUAACCUUCCUAAAUUAGCUGCCGGUACUGGAACCUUCCAAGAGGAAUUUUAAUUAGUGUGCUGCAUUUGAAGCACUUUGACAUGUAUAUUUUAAGUGACAGUUUUAACAGGCAAAUGGUGUUAAACUAAUCACCGUGAAACUUGAAAGUGUGAUGCUCUCUCUGUUUUAGGAAGCUUAAGUAAAUUUCUGAUUUUUCUUUUAUUAAUUUUGUGACCCAUGUGACUUGCGUAGUUUACUUUCCGUCUUUGACAGUGGCCCAGAUGACUGGCAUUAGCAGGCAGUUACACUAGGGUUUCUGGUAAAUCCUGGUUGUCGAGCUUUUCCAGAGAGAGUGGCGACACGUACCUUCUUCCUCGUGGGAAGCCAUGGGAGUGGAAUCUGCUGGCUGAUUCGUUGCAGGGCUUCCACGGUGCAAGAUAAAUGUAACCUUACUUUCUAACCCACAUGCUAGUACUACGCUUUGCUCUUCAAUAAACAAAUAUGCGAGAGAUAGUAAUCUAGCGGAUUUUUCUGGUUUGUUUUUAAGCGGGGACCUGCUCUUAAGACAGAGAUCUUCAAUGAGCUAAUAUUUAGGGAAGCAGAAAAUGUUCUGCCAUCUGUAGCCUUCUCACAGGUGGCCGGAGUGAGGAGACUGUGUUGCAUUCGGUCAGAAAGCCCGGGUUCCCAGAAUUGGAAAGUGGCACGUGGACUGAUUUUAGAAUAUCUUAACGAGGGCUUGUCUCUAUAGGAAAGUCCAUGUGGACCUAACAGAAGGAUUGUGUGGUCCAUUCACAUUGUCUUACUCUUCACAGAAUCAUUUGUAGAAAGGUAGGCUAAACCAAAGUGGUGCUGUUUUUAAAGCUUGUGAAUUGGAUCAUGGCCGUAGAGUACCUAAUGCUACAUGGAACUUAAAGUCAGUAUUAAAGAUACCAGGAUUGGCUAAAUGCUGGGGAUGCUUUAUGGCUCUUUGGCUAAAGUCUUCUCUUGAGCAGUUUCUAUGGGUAACCAUUAAAAUUUGGAAUUGAUUUUGUUUUUUUAUUAAAGCAUACACAACUCGCCAUGAGCCCAAGAUUCUUAUAUUCUUGACGAGCACUUUUUAAUUCCAAGGAGUAAGUUCUUGACCUUACGUGGAACACGUUUAGUUAGUACUUGAUAUUACUAACUCGUUACCGGAGGAAUGUUCAUUUCACAAGAUCUGUGAAUGUUGCAUUUUACAUCUGUGUGAAUUACUGGGAUCAUUCAGCAUCAGACUUUAACAACUGCUGAUUGAAACUGCCCACAGUAUUAACAUUGUAGGUUAUGUUGUUUAGAUAACUUAAACGAAAUGAGUCAGCUUUCGGGAGACAAAGACCCAGCUACAUGUAAUGACAUGCUCGUUCCAAAACGUGCCAAGAAAGCAGACUUCAGUGUUACACUCCAAAUUUUAGUUGUUUUAUGAAAGUAGCAUUUCCUCUGGGUAGUGGGGAAGCAGUGAAUUACUGCCCAGGUGCAGACUCCCUGACCCCUACCUUGUCCCCUUCCCCUCCCGUAGGACAAAACAGGUUAAAUUUGUAGCCACCUGUAGGAAAAGAAAUGGCUACUUUUCUGAGUAAGGCUUCGUGCCCUGUGACAGGUGGCAGGCAUCCUGCCGAAUCAGUCAGUACCUUGUGUGGCUCAGACCCGUUGCAGUUUGCUGUGUGUGGUAUUCUGGAACAAGGACGGCUCCGUGCCUUCUCAGGUACCUAUUAGCAACACCACUUACGCAACUGGAACGUGUGUGCCACAAGCAAGCAGAGUGUGUCAGUGAGAUAAAGGGGAACACAAAGUCUUUCAUUUCCUCUUUCAGAUAGUUGAAUGGAGCAUAUUCUUAAUGGGUCUGUCUAGAACUUGCUGUGUUCGUGGUAAAUAAUGUAGCAUUUAUCUGGUUAUGUGUGGUGUGUGUAUAUAUACGUAUUUACUAUGUACACAUAGGUUUUCUGCAUAUCUAUGUAUGAUAUAUUCAUAUAUACAUGCAGUGUGCUCUUGAUUAUCUGCAAAAUGGUACACCCUCGUUAGAUUGUCUCUUCCUGUUGACCUAAUCGGCACGUAGCCCCUAACUCCGAAGCCUCUUCCUCCUCUAGAGCCACAGUCGUUCCUACUUGCAGUUCAUCUCAAUCCCCGCGGAAGGCCCUUGUGAAAUACGCCUCUUUCUGUUUCCCUUCCACCAGGGAUUGUGAGCCAGAAAGACAGUUUUUGAAGAAGACGGCUGCUUCCAUCAGGUUUGAGUCUUCUGGCUCUGAAUGGUGUUGGGGCCCAUCCCUGGCCAGAAGGCAGCUCUGGGAGCAGUUGUUGUGCUCAAGAGCUCGAGGGGGGAAGAGAUCUAGCUCUUGCAGAAAUGGGGCUUUACAACUUGCUUAAGAGUUCCUUAUCUGCAGUGUUGUGAAGUCGUAGACAGUUUGGUCCACAAAUAGAUCCUAUCACUGUUACUUUUGCAUCGUUGGUGUUACUGUUCCCCAUUGCUGGCCCCGAUAAUCAAGACCUGACUGUUUCUUGCCAGUGGAUUCUGGAAGCCUUGCCUUCUGAACUGGAUUUAUGUUUAUUUCUGCUGCUGUGAACCCCAAAAGUAAUGCAGUAGGUUUUAAUUUAAAAUUGUUUCAUUCUAUUAUGGAUAAAUAUUUAUUGUAAUAAAAGUAAAGAGUAAAUAAUUUUUAAAUCCUUUUAACUGUUUUCAGAUUGUCUUCUUUAUUUUUCCUUGGUAGAUGCAAGAGGGGAGGGUGCUCUGAGGGAGAAGAAUGCUGUCUCAGAAUCACUGAUUACUUUAGAGCAGCAUAGUGCAAGGUUUUUUGUUUUGUGUGUUUAAAGAGUGAUCCGCCUGCUUGCUCCUGGGUGUUCUACAACCCUGUGACUUGUUUCAGAAAGCCGAGUACCAGGCAGGUGGCAGUAACAGCUGUUCGUAGUGUCCUGCUCUUGACUGCCCCAGAACUGGGUGCUGGGCAGUGUAUAAUAAUAACUGGGUCACACUUCAAUUAGUUGGGAAGGUGGUUGUCUUAAACACAUUUUCUCACAGAAAAAUGUAUGGUGUUAAUUUCCCAGGCUAAUUCCACAAGAAUCUAAUGACAUACACUUAGUACACCCAAAGUUUAGUUCAGCUUAUAAAUCACAAGCUUUUAUUUUAAAAACCCCUAUUUUCUAACAUUGCUUCUGAGAAGAUUUCCUAUCUUUUACAUCGGAAGUGGUUCCCAGCUCUGGCAGCAGGCAUUUAAAGUUUUUGUCUCUAACAGGCUUUGAAGAAGGUGAGGGGAAGAUGCCCCGUAUUUUGCCCCGGGGCUGCCUCUCCAGCGGUGUGCUUUUAAUCCCCUGCGCCACCCAGCCUCUCGGUCGCCCCAGCAGUUCCUCCUGCCCUUCUGUCCGCAAAUCUCGAACACCCAGCGGGUACCUGACACAUAGCAGGCACGCACCAGUGCCUACCAAGGCGGACCAGACUCUGGAUGCUUGUGAGUCAUCACGGCAGACAUCACCUACAACCCUCCCCACAUCCCACAUCCCUCUCACCCGUGACAUUGGCCUGCUGCAGUCUCUUCAGGAUCUCCUGUUACGACCCUUUAAAGGCAACAACACAACAACUGUUUUAUUAUGUCAAAAGUGAUGUUAUUUGUAAGCUUUUUUUAAUUAAAAAAAAUUUUUUUUUUGA